AUUGAACGCUGGCGGCAGGCUUAACACAUGCAAGUCGAGCGGGGAAAGGUAGCUUUCUACCUUACCUAGCUGCGGACGGGUGAGUAAUUCUUAGGAAUCUGCCUAUUAUUUGGGGACAACAUCUCUAAAGGGAUGCUAAUACCGCAUACGUCCUACGGGAGAAAGCAAGGGACCUUCGGGCCUUGCGCUAAUAGAUGAGCCUAAGACGGAUUAGCUAGUUGGUGUGGUAAAUGCCUACCAAGGCGACGAUCUGUAGCGGGUCUGAGAGGAUGAUCCGCCACCCUGGGAACGGGAACAGGCUCCGACUUCUACGGGAAGCAGCAGGGGGGAAUACUGGAGAAAUGGGGGAAACCCGAACCAGGCAAGGCGCGGGUGUGGAGAAGGCUUUUUGGUUGUUAAGAACUUUAAGCGAGGAAGAGGCUAAUGAGAUUAAUACUCUUGGAUAGUUGACGUUACUCGCAGAAUAAGCACCGGCUAACUCUGUG
rnacentral:rRNA from 1 species